CCGGCAGCUAAAUCUUCUUCUUUAACACAGGGAAAGGGACAGUGUCUUCCAUUGCCCCUGCAGGGAGGAGGCUAGCAGAGCAGACACAGAGCAGGAGACUGGAGCACAGACAACUCCGUCCCCAGACAGAUGGGGGAAAUUGUGGCCAAGGGGUUCUGCCGUCUCUCCUUCAACAUAUGCUGCCUGAGGUUGCCUCACUCUGAUUAAUGGUACGGCAGAACUCAAAACAGCAUCUGCUAAAUUCAGAUCUCCUCUCACCCUGCCCCACAUUUUCCCAUUUCCCCCAUCACCAGUGGAAGAGAGGCAUAAAACUAGGCAGUAACUGACAGGUGGGAAAACCAUCAACAUACUGAGAAUUUAGAACACGGAAAAGAGUUGUGUUGCUCACAGCAACUAAAUAUUGCCUUGAGUAUUAGAAUGCCCAGCAACUGCGCAACAGAAACACAGAGCUGAAGGAGGAUGUUUGUAUAACAAAUGCACAAUUAUUGGGCUGAAAAACCAAUGACACAUUAUUAUCUGAAAAAUGCUUCAGUUUCCUGCAAGAAGUGUGCUCAGUUCAGAAACAUCACUUCUCACAAAGCACUGCAUCAAGGAAGAACCAAAGACAAAAUAUGAAUAUGUAUUAUAUUUCCCCCUCCCCUCCUCCAAGCAGCUCUGGCAAUACACAGGUCACUAACCUCAUUUAUCCUCAUAACAAUCUUGUGAGGUAGGUUAUGGCGAUAUGGGAAUUACUGAACCAAAGUCACUCAAUGGACUUUGUAGCUAAGCAAAUAUUUGACUACCAGCUCUCUCCAGUCCAAGCACACCGUCUACUGCACCACAAUGGCUCCUAAUUAUUUGUGCACAAGUAAGCAAUAGGUGUUCAUGUGAGAAGACCAUGCAGAUUAAAUGUACACACCAAGAGGUAGAAGCAUAUUCCAGCUUCCCUAUUAUACACACAGAACACGAGAGAAAGUAACCAAGGUACAUGAUCAUGCUAAGCCAUCCUAACGUGAAGCCAGCAUUAUUCCAAAUUAAACAAAUCUUUGAUUUAAGUAAGUGUGUAGUUCCUUUUGUGAUGCCAUUUCAAGCUUUGUCCUUUCUCUUUGCCCGAAUGCCAAUUUGAUGUCGGUCUUCUCAAAUGUCACAACCAUCACCAUUUAAGUAUCAAAUAAAAGCCUGCCUUCUGCUCCCAUAAUUGAGGUAGUUCCCCAUCCCACCCCCCAAAUUAAAUCGGCCUGAGAUGCAACAGUAUAUUUAACCCAGCCUCAGUGACACCUUUCCUAUACAUAAAUAUGCCACAGGUUUAAAGUCCAUUAUCUUGCAACCCUCUAUGGCUAGAAACGACAGUUUUAUACUAUGUGAAAAGGAGUGAUUUCCCACCUUCCAUUCCAAGAAGGUCCCAAGGUAUUGGAUGUUAAUGUCAUGACAUUUUUAGGCAUAGAAAAGCUUUUAGGUUAUCCAGAGAAUGUUUUAUGGCUCCCAUUGAGCCUUGGUGAGCAUUUGAGCCCGUGGUAAAUGGAUGUAUCUAUUUUUACAGGCAAGAACAGCAUGAAACGAGAGGGCAGAAAAAUACAAUGGAAACUAGAAAAGCUUUCCACACUAGCUGAAUGCAGUGCACUUUGCUUGUGCAAAGUACACUUUCCCAGAAGGUUCAAGUACAAAACAAAAUGCAUUGCAGUAGAUAUAUUUAAUCUACAUUUUCCAAGCACAUAAUAUCCAGACAUUAUGAACAUAUGAAGCUUAGUCAUGAAAGGAGUAGAAGCGUUGCUCCACCUCACCCAUUAUUGUCAUUUCUGCUGGCAGUAAGACUAAGGUCACAGGCCGGGGAUUUCUUAGCUCUGCAAUGUGAGAUCUUUGACAAAGAGAUGACAGGAGAUAAUCUGGGACUUUUCGCAUGGUAAUCUUAUGCUCUACCACUGAGCAAUGUCCUCCUUCCCCACCAAAGGACAAGCUUCUGUUCUUAACAUUUAAGCAGACUGCCCCAACUACUCACUGACCCUUAUUAUACCCAAGCAGUGAGAAAUGGCAGGGUGGCAGUGCUUACCCAGGUUUGGUUUCCUUUGGAAGGAGGUUAGUGAAUGCUUAUGGUGUUUUGUAAUAUUUGACUUAAUUAACUGCGCUGCAGUUCAACAUGUCGGGGGGGGGCAGAGAUUCUUUAUCCCUGGCCCACAUCAGGUCUCCAGAGAAAGGCAGACCGCCGUCCAAAAUGCUCCCGCAGUUGCAGAUCCCCACACCCAGCUCUCUGCCUCUUGCUCUGCCCCUCUCUUAUUCCUCACUCAAAUCUCUGGUUUCCAUUUCUUCUUUUCACCCACAGACCUAGAUCACAUCUAGGAAGAGGAAGAGCAAGCAAAGGAAAAUAAGAAAUAUACACCCC
rnacentral:lncRNA from 1 species